UUGAUUAUUUGCUUAGACCACUCAGAAGAAACAUAACUAAAAUCAGAGUUUAAUACCUCCGGCGAGCGCCUGUGAAGGCCACAGCCCCGCCCUGGGGCUGCUCGCCGAAGCAACGAAUACAGGUAUGUUCACAGUGGGUUGGGAGUUGAAACUCGGUAAUGAUCCCUCCGCUGGUUCACCAACGGAGA
rnacentral:misc_RNA from 1 species